rnacentral:rRNA from 1 species
UAGGGAAUCUUCCGCAAUGGGCGAAAGCCUGACGGAGCAACGCCGCGUGAGUGAUGAAGGUCUUCGGAUCGUAAAACUCUGUUAUUAGGGAAGAACAAAUGCGUAAGUAACUAUGCACGUCUUGACGGUACCUAAUCAGAAAGCCACGGCUAACUACGUGCCAGCAGCCGCGGUAAUACGCAGGUGGCAAGCGUUAUCCGGAACUAUUGGGCGUAAAGCGCGCGUAGGCGGUUUUUUAAGUCUGAUGUGAAAGCCCACGGCUCAACCGUGGAGGGUCAUUGGAAACUGGAAAACUUGAGUGCAGAAGAGGAAAGUGGAAUUCCAUGUGUAGCGGUGAAAUGCGCAGAGAUAUGGAGGAACCCCAGUGGCUAAGGCGACUUUCUGGUCUGUAACUGACGCUGAAAUGCGAAAGCAUGGAGAUCUAGCAGG